rnacentral:misc_RNA from 1 species
GAUGUACCUGUCCCUCUACCGUCUC